ensembl:ncRNA T26H10.8 ncRNA
CAAAAAAAUACUACGAAGAUUGUUCAUUUCUUCACUCCCUUUUGUUGUAAUCAUCAAUCAUUGUUCUAAAUUUAGGUUCGUUAGUCAACCCUCAUAUAUCUGUGGGUAUUUUUCGUUGAACAAGAAAAUAGUUCUG